rnacentral:rRNA from 1 species
AGAUUAAGUUAUUAAGGGCGCACGGUGGAUGCCUUGGCACUAGAAGCCGAUGAAGGACGUUACUAACGACGAUAUGCUUUGGGGAGCUGUAAGUAAGCUUUGAUCCAGAGAUUUCCGAAUGGGGAAACCCAGCAUGAGUUAUGUCAUGUUAUCGAUAUGUGAAUACAUAGCAUAUCAGAAGGCACACCCGGAGAACUGAAACAUCUUAGUACCCGGAGGAAGAGAAAGAAAAUUCGAUUCCCUUAGUAGCGGCGAGCGAAACGGGAAGAGCCCAAACCAACAAGCUUGCUUGUUGGGGUUGUAGGACACUCUAUACGGAGUUACAAAGGACGACAUUAGACGAAUCAUCUGGAAAGAUGAAUCAAAGAAGGUAAUAAUCCUGUAGUCGAAAAUGUUGUCUCUCUUGAGUGGAUCCUGAGUACGACGGAGCACGUGAAAUUCCGUCGGAAUCUGGGAGGACCAUCUCCUAAGGCUAAAUACUCUCUAGUGACCGAUAGUGAACCAGUACCGUGAGGGAAAGGUGAAAAGCACCCCGGAAGGGGAGUGAAAUAGAACCUGAAACCGUGUGCUUACAAGUAGUCAGAGCCCGUUAAUGGGUGAUGGCGUGCCUUUUGUAGAAUGAACCGGCGAGUUACGAUUUGAUGCAAGGUUAAGCAGUAAAUGUGGAGCCGUAGCGAAAGCGAGUCUGAAUAGGGCGUUUAGUAUUUGGUCGUAGACCCGAAACCAGGUGAUCUACCCUUGGUCAGGUUGAAGUUCAGGUAACACUGAAUGGAGGACCGAACCGACUUACGUUGAAAAGUGAGCGGAUGAACUGAGGGUAGCGGAGAAAUUCCAAUCGAACCUGGAGAUAGCUGGUUCUCUCCGAAAUAGCUUUAGGGCUAGCCUCAAGUGAUGAUUAUUGGAGGUAGAGCACUGUUUGGACGAGGGGCCCCUCUCGGGUUACCGAAUUCAGACAAACUCCGAAUGCCAAUUAAUUUAACUUGGGAGUCAGAACAUGGGUGAUAAGGUCCGUGUUCGAAAGGGAAACAGCCCAGACCACCAGCUAAGGUCCCAAAAUAUAUGUUAAGUGGAAAAGGAUGUGG